UCUUGGUCAUUUAGAGGAAGUAAAAGUCGUAACAAGGUCUCCGUUGGUGAACCAGCGGAGGGAUCAUUACAGAGUUGCAAGACUCCCUAAACCAUUGUGAACCUACCUUCUACCGUUGCUUCGGCGGGCGGGCCCAGCGCCCCCCCGGCCCCCCGCGGGCGCCCGCCGGAGGAUACCCAAACUCUUGACAUUAGUGGCCUCUCUGAGUAUUCUUUACCGAAUAAGUCAAAACUUUCAACAACGGAUCUCUUGGUUCUGGCAUCGAUGAAGAACGCAGCGAAAUGCGAUAAGUAAUGUGAAUUGCAGAAUUCAGUGAAUCAUCGAAUCUUUGAACGCACAUUGCGCCCGCCAGUAUUCUGGCGGGCAUGCCUGUUCGAGCGUCAUUUCAACCAUCAAGCCCCCGGGCUUGUGUUGGGGACCUGCGGCUGCCCGCAGGCCCUGAAAACCAGUGGCGGGCUCGCUAGUCACACCGAGCGUAGUAGCAUACAUCUCGCUCAGGGCGUGCUGCGGGUUCCGGCCGUUAAACAGCCUCUGCGCUACACCCAAGGUUGACCUCGGAUCAGGUAGGAAGACCCGCUGAACUUAAGCAUAUCAAUAAGCGG
rnacentral:rRNA from 1 species